CGUGAUCUUUAUGUCUGUGUGAUCGUAGUGCAACGUAGAUUCAUUUUAUAAACUUUUCAUCUUUAUUUUCUAUUAUUGGUGUAUUGUUCUAAUUAUAGGUUUGUUUGCUUUGUAUGAUUGCCUCUGGAUGAUUGUUGUUGAUGUGAUGACUGAGUUUGGACGGUGAGCUUUUACGUGGUGACCAAGAAGCAGUUUGAGGAAGGUUUGGAACUAAAAGAAGGAUCUGAGUUUUAAGGCAAGUAUAGCAUG
rnacentral:lncRNA from 1 species